UCAAGUUAUUAAGGGUGCAGGGCGGAUGCCUUGGCACUAGGAGCCGAUGAAGGACGUGAUAAGCUGCGAUAAGCUUCGGGGAGUUGCACGUAAACUUUGAUCCGAAGAUUUCCGAAUGAGGAAACUCACUUAGAGUAAUGUCUAAGUAUCAUUAAGUGAAUACAUAGCUUAAUGAGGGGAACUCAGGGAACUGAAACAUCUAAGUACCUGAAGGAAGAGAAAGAAAUUCGAUUCCGUAAGUAGCGGCGAGCGAACGCGGAUUAGCCCAAACCAAUAAAGUUUUCUUUAUUGGGGUUGCGGACAUAUCAUAACGAAGAGGUAUCGUAAUUGAAGAGGUUUGGAAAGACCCACCACAGAAGGUAAUAGUCCUGUAUGUUAAACGAGAAGACUUCAGAUAUGAUCCAGAGUACCACGGGACACGUGAAACCCUGUGGGAAGCAGGAGGGACCACCCUCCAAGGCUAAAUACUACCUAGUGACCGAUAGCGUAUAGUACCGUGAGGGAAAGGUGAAAAGAACCCCGGGAGGGGAGUGAAAUAGAACCUGAAACCCUGCACUUACAAGCUGUGGAAGCACAUUUCUUGUGUGACCGCGUACUUUUUGUAGAACGGGCCAACGAGUUACGUUAAGUAGCAAGGUUAAGCACUUAAGGUGCGGAGCCGUAGCGAAAGCGAGUUUUAACUGAGCGUUCAGUUACUUGACGUAGACCCGAAACCGGGCGACCUACCCAUGAGCAGGAUGAAGCGAAAGUAAAAUUUCGUGGAGGUCCGAACCCACGAGCGUUGAAAAGCUCGGGGAUGACUUGUGGGUAGCGGUGAAAUUCCAAUCGAGCCCGGAGAUAGCUGGUUCUCCCCGAAAUAGCUUUAGGGCUAGCCUCAAGGUGAGAGAUACGGAGGUAGAGCACUGAAUGUCCUAGGGGGUAUUGCACCUACCGAAGACUAUCAAACUCCGAAUGCCGUCAUCUUAUACUUGGGAGUCAGACUGUGGGUGAUAAGAUUCAUAGUCGAAAGGGCAACAGCCCAGAUCGUCAGCUAAGGUCCCUAAAUGUAAGUUAAGUGGUAAAGGAUGUGGGAUUGCACAGACAACCAGGAUGUUGGCUUAGAAGCAGCCACUCAUUCAAAGAGUGCGUAAUAGCUCACUGGUCGAGUGAUCCUGCGCCGAAGAUUUCCGGGGCUAAAACUUACUACCGAAGCUACGGCAUCAGUAAUGAUGGGUAGGGGAGCUUCCCAUACGGGUUGAAGCAUGACCGUAAGGACAUGUGGACAGUAUGGGAGUGAGAAUGUUGGCAUGAGUAGCGAGAUGUGGGUGAGAAUCCCACAGGCCGUAAACCCAAGGUUUCCAGGGGAAGGUUCGUCCGCCCUGGGUUAGUCGGGACCUAAGCUGAGGCCGAAAGGCGUAGGUGAUGGACAACAGGUUGAUAUUCCUGUACUACCGAUAACCGUUUGAGAGAAGGGAUGACACAGUAGGAUAAGCUAAGCACACUGUUGGUUAUGUGUGCCCAAGCAUUGAGGCAGUCAAAGUAGGCAAAUCCGCUUUGAUAAUGCUGGGAUGUGAUGGGGAGCGAAAUUUAGUAGCGAAGUAGCUGAUUUCACACUGUCAAGAAAAGUCUCUAUCGAGGUUAAAGGUACCCGUACCGCAAACCGACACAGGUGGGUGAGGAGAGUAUCCUAAGGCCAGCGAGAGAACUGUUGUUAAGGAACUCGGCAAAAUGACCCCGUAACUUAGGGAUAAGGGGUGCCACCAUCAGGUGGCCGCAGAGAAUAGGCCCAAGCGACUGUUUACCAAAAACAUAGGUUUCUGCUAAGUCGCAAGACGAUGUAUAGGAGCUGACGCCUGCCCGGUGCUGGAAGGUUAAGGGGAUCUGUUAGAGCAAUCGAAGCAGUGAACUUAAGCCCCAGUAAACGGCGGCCGUAACUAUAACGGUCCUAAGGUAGCGAAAUUCCUUGUCGGGUAAGUUCCGACCCGCACGAAAGGCGUAACGAUUUGGGCACUGUCUCAACAACAGACUCGGUGAAAUUCCAAUCGAGCCCGGAGAUAGCUGGUUCUCCCCGAAAUAGCUUUAGGGCUAGCCUCAAGGUGAGAGAUACGGAGGUAGAGCACUGAAUGUCCUAGGGGGUAUUGCACCUACCGAAGACUAUCAAACUCCGAAUGCCGUCAUCUUAUACUUGGGAGUCAGACUGUGGGUGAUAAGAUUCAUAGUCGAAAGGGCAACAGCCCAGAUCGUCAGCUAAGGUCCCUAAAUGUAAGUUAAGUGGUAAAGGAUGUGGGAUUGCACAGACAACCAGGAUGUUGGCUUAGAAGCAGCCACUCAUUCAAAGAGUGCGUAAUAGCUCACUGGUCGAGUGAUCCUGCGCCGAAGAUUUCCGGGGCUAAAACUUACUACCGAAGCUACGGCAUCAGUAAUGAUGGGUAGGGGAGCUUCCCAUACGGGUUGAAGCAUGACCGUAAGGACAUGUGGACAGUAUGGGAGUGAGAAUGUUGGCAUGAGUAGCGAGAUGUGGGUGAGAAUCCCACAGGCCGUAAACCCAAGGUUUCCAGGGGAAGGUUCGUCCGCCCUGGGUUAGUCGGAACCUAAGCUGAGGCCGAAAGGCGUAGGUGAUGGACAACAGGUUGAUAUUCCUGUACUACCGAUAACCAUUUGAGAGAAGGGAUGACACAGUAGGAUAAGCUAAGCACACUGUUGGUUAUGUGUGCCCAAGCAUUGAGGCAGUCAAAGUAGGUAAAUCCGCUUUGAUAAUGCUGGGAUGUGAUGGGGAGCGAAAUUUAGUAGCGAAGUAGCUGAUUUCACACUGUCAAGAAAAGUCUCUAUCGAGGUUAAAGGUACCCGUACCGCAAACCGACACAGGUGGGUGAGGAGAGUAUCCUAAGGCCAGCGAGAGAACUGUUGUUAAGGAACUCGGCAAAAUGACCCCGUAACUUAGGGAUAAGGGGUGCCACCAUCAGGUGGCCGCAGAGAAUAGGCCCAAGCGACUGUUUACCAAAAACAUAGGUUUCUGCUAAGUCGCAAGACGAUGUAUAGGAGCUGACGCCUGCCCGGUGCUGGAAGGUUAAGGGGAUCUGUUAGAGCAAUCGAAGCAGUGAACUUAAGCCCCAGUAAACGGCGGCCGUAACUAUAACGGUCCUAAGGUAGCGAAAUUCCUUGUCGGGUAAGUUCCGACCCGCACGAAAGGCGUAACGAUUUGGGCACUGUCUCAACAACAGACUCGGUGAAAUUGUAAUUCCGGUGAAGAUGCCGGAUACCUGCGACAGGACGGAAAGACCCCAUGGAGCUUUACUGUAGCUUGACAUUGGGUCUUGGUACUACAUGUACAGGAUAGGUGGGAGGCUUUGAAACCAGGACGCCAGUUUUGGCGGAGCCAUCCUUGGGAUACCACCCUUGUAGUACUGGGACUCUAACCAUAGGCCAUGAAUCUGGUCUUGGGACACUGUCAGGUGGGCAGUUUGACUGGGGCGGUCGCCUCCCAAAAGGUAACGGAGGCGCUCAAAGGUUCUCUCAGUACGGUCGGAAAUCGUACGUAGAGUGUAAAGGCAAAAGAGAGCUUGAUUGCAAGACAUACAGGUCGAGCAAGGAUGAAAAUCGGACUUAGUGAUCCGGUGGUUCUGCGUGGAAGGGCCAUCGCUCAACGGAUAAAAGCUACCCUGGGGAUAACAGGCUUAUCUCCCCCAAGAGUCCACAUCGACGGGGAGGUUUGGCACCUCGAUGUCGGCUCAUCACAUCCUGGGGCUGUAGUAGGUCCCAAGGGUUGGGCUGUUCGCCCAUUAAAGUGGUACGCGAGCUGGGUUCAGAACGUCGUGAGACAGUUCGGUCCCUAUCCGUCGCAGGCGUAGGAAAUUUGAGAAGACCUGUCCUUAGUACGAGAGGACCGGGAUGGACGUACCUCUGGUGUACCAGUUGUCCUGCCAAGGGCAUGGCUGGGUAGCUAUGUACGGAAUGGAUAAGCGCUGAAAGCAUCUAAGCGCGAAGCCAACUUCAAGAUAAGAUUUCCCACCGCAAGGGUAAGACCCCAGAAAGACUAUCUGGUUGAUAGGUCGAAGGUGUAAGUGCAGCAAUGUAUUUAGCUUAUCGAUACUAAUAGGUCGAGGACUUGACCAA
rnacentral:rRNA from 1 species